GAUGAACGCUGACAGAAUGCUUAACACAUGCAAGUCAACUUGAACUUCGGUUUGGGUGGCGGACGGGUGAGUAACGCGUAAAGAACUUGCCUCACAGCUAGGGACAACAUUUGGAAACGAAUGCUAAUACCUGAUAUUAUGAUUAUAUGGCAUCGUAUAAUUAUGAAAGCUAUAUGCGCUGUGAGAGAGCUUUGCGUCCCAUUAGCUAGUUGGAGAGGUAACAGCUCACCAAGGCGAUGAUGGGUAGCCGGCCUGAGAGGGUGAUCGGCCACAAGGGGACUGAGACACGGCCCUUACUCCUACGGGAGGCAGCAGUGGGGAAUAUUGGACAAUGGACCGAGAGUCUGAUCCAGCAAUUCUGUGUGCACGAUGAGGCUUUUCGGAAUGUAAAGUGCUUUCAGUUGGGAAGAAAAAAAUGACGGUACCAACAGAAGAAGUGACGGCUAAAUACGUG
rnacentral:rRNA from 1 species